AGACCCGAAACCCGGUGAUCUAGCCAUGGGCAGGUUGAAGGUUGGGUAACACUAACUGGAGGACCGAACCGACUAAUGUUGAAAAAUUAGCGGAUGACCUGUGGCUGGGGGUGAAAGGCCAAUCAAACCGGGAGAUAGCUGGUUCUCCCCGAAAGCUAUUUAGGUAGCGCCUCGUGAAUUCAUCUCCGGGGGUAGAGCACUGUUUCGGCUAGGGGGCCAUCCCGGCUUACCAACCCGAUGCAAACUGCGAAUACCGGAGAAUGUUAUCACGGGAGACACACGGCGGGUGCUAACGUCCGUCGUGAAGAGGGAAACAACCCAGACCGCCAGCUAAGGUCCCAAAGUCAUGGUUAAGUGGGAAACGAUGUGGGAAGGCCCAGACAGCCAGGAUGUUGGCUUAGAAGCAGCCAUCAUUUAAAGAAAGCGUAAUAGCUCACUGGUCGAGUCGGCCUGCGCGGAAGAUGUAACGGGGCUAAACCAUGCACCGAAGCUGCGGCAGCGACACUGUGUGUUGUUGGGUAGGGGAGCGUUCUGUAAGCCUGUGAAGGUGUGUCGUGAGGCAUGCUGGAGGUAUCAGAAGUGCGAAUGCUGACAUAAGUAACGAUAAAGCGGGUGAAAAGCCCGCUCGCCGGAAGACCAAGGGUUCCUGUCCAACGUUAAUCGGGGCAGGGUGAGUCGACCCCUAAGGCGAGGCCGAAAGGCGUAGUCGAUGGGAAACGGGUUAAUAUUCCCGUACUUGGUGUUACUGCGAAGGGGGGACGGAGAAGGCUAUGUUGGCCGGGCGACGGUUGUCCCGGUUUAAGCGUGUAGGCUGGUUUUCCAGGCAAAUCCGGAAAAUCAAGGCUGAGGCGUGAUGACGAGGCACUACGGUGCUGAAGCAACAAAUGCCCUGCUUCCAGGAAAAGCCUCUAAGCAUCAGGUAACAUCAAAUCGUACCCCAAACCGACACAGGUGGUCAGGUAGAGAAUACCAAGGCGCUUGAGAGAACUCGGGUGAAGGAACUAGGCAAAAUGGUGCCGUAACUUCGGGAGAAGGCACGCUGACACGUAGGUGAAGUGAUUUACUCAUGGAGCUGAAGUCAGUCGAAGAUACCAGCUGGCUGCAACUGUUUAUUAAAAACACAGCACUGUGCAAACACGAAAGUGGACGUAUACGGUGUGACGCCUGCCCGGUGCCGGAAGGUUAAUUGAUGGGGUCAGCGCAAGCGAAGCUCCUGAUCGAAGCCCCGGUAAACGGCGGCCGUAACUAUAACGGUCCUAAGGUAGCGAAAUUCCUUGUCGGGUAAGUUCCGACCUGCACGAAUGGCGUAAUGAUGGCCAGGCUGUCUCCACCCGAGACUCAGUGAAAUUGAACUCGCUGUGAAGAUGCAGUGUACCCGCGGCAAGACGGAAAGACCCCGUGAACCUUUACUAUAGCUUGACACUGAACAUUGAGCCUUGAUGUGUAGGAUAGGUGGGAGGCUUUGAAGUGUGGACGCCAGUCUGCAUGGAGCCGACCUUGAAAUACCACCCUUUAAUGUUUGAUGUUCUAACGUGGACCCGUUACCCGGGUUGCGGACAGUGUCUGGUGGGUAGUUUGACUGGGGCGGUCUCCUCCUAAAGAGUAACGGAGGAGCACGAAGGUUGGCUAAUCCUGGUCGGACAUCAGGAGGUUAGUGCAAUGGCAUAAGCCAGCUUGACUGCGAGCGUGACGGCGCGAGCAGGUGCGAAAGCAGGUCAUAGUGAUCCGGUGGUUCUGAAUGGAAGGGCCAUCGCUCAACGGAUAAAAGGUACUCCGGGGAUAACAGGCUGAUACCGCCCAAGAGUUCAUAUCGACGGCGGUGUUUGGCACCUCGAUGUCGGCUCAUCACAUCCUGGGGCUGAAGUAGGUCCCAAGGGUAUGGCUGUUCGCCAUUUAAAGUGGUACGCGAGCUGGGUUUAGAACGUCGUGAGACAGUUCGGUCCCUAUCUGCCGUGGGCGCUGGAGAACUGAGGGGGGCUGCUCCUAGUACGAGAGGACCGGAGUGGACGCAUCACUGGUGUUCGGGUUGUCAUGCCAAUGGCACUGCCCGGUAGCUAAAUGCGGAAGAGAUAAGUGCUGAAAGCAUCUAAGCACGAAACUUGCCCCGAGAUGAGUUCUCCCUGAGACUUAGAGUCUCCUGAAGGAACGUUGAAGACGACGACGUUGAUAGGCCGGGUGUGUAAGCGCAGCGAUGCGUUGAGCUAACCGGUACUAAUGAACCGUGAGGCUUAACCUU
rnacentral:rRNA from 2 species